AAACAUUAGAGAAGAAGAAGAAGCUUACGUCAUUCGACGCGACACUUUCCACGGUCGGAGCUGAUCCGGAUCACAUACACAGGAGUCACUCAUUGAAGAUGAAUCACAGCUGGACAGGGAUCUUCGAAUAAUUGAGAGACACCAUGGUGUAAAACGAAGGCGGCUCCCUUCGGAUGACAUUUUCCAGAGAACACUGAGAGAUGUUGACCAGGAACUUAGAGGUCAGCUG